UACAGAGGAGCCAAGCGUUGUCCGGAUUGACUGGGCGUAAAGCGCACGCAGGCGGAUGCGCGCGUGGGGUGUGAAAUCUGGCCGCUUAACGGCCAGGCGCCAUCCCAUACGGCGCGUCUGGAGUGAUGCAGAGGUCGAUGGAAUUGCCGGUGUAGUGGUGAAAUGCGUAGAGAUCGGCAGGAACACCCAGGGGGAAACCAGCCGACUGGGCAUAGGCUGACGCUGAGGUGCGAGAGCGUGGGGAGCGAACCGG
rnacentral:rRNA from 1 species